AGACUACAGGCUGCAACUCGCCUGCACGAAGUCGGAAUUGCUAGUAAUCGUAGGUCAGCAUACUACGGUGAAUACGUUCCCGGGCCUUGUACACACCGCCCGUCAAACCAUGAGAGUUGGCAACACCCGAAGUCGGUAGUCUAACCGCAAGGAGGACGCCGCCGAAGGUGGGGUUGAUGAUUAGGGUUAAGUCGUAACAAGGUACC
rnacentral:rRNA from 1 species